CCCAGGCAAGAAUACUGGAGUGGCUUGCCAUUUCAGGGAAUCUUUCUGACCUGUGUCUCCUGCAUUGGCAGGGCAUUGCAGGCAGAUUUUUUUUAACUCUAAGCCAUCUGGGAAAAGUUUGUCUGGAAGGUUCUAAAUGCAACCUGUGAACAGCUGACUGAAGGAGACACUGUUGGAGUCACAGAUGAUGCCUGUCAACAUGGAAGGAUGACCAUGGCAAGAAGAUAGAAUCUAAAGAAGCCGGCCUUUGGGUUACAUAUGUAUAAGCAUAUUCUCCGAUGAACUUCCCAGAUUGAAGCUGAUCAAAUGACUCAUUAACAGAAAACCACGUGAGAUACCAACACAUCACAAGAGCUUCUUAACAACGACGAACCAUUAAUACCUACUCCACCAGCAUUAGAUCCUGGAGGUUGAAGACCCCUGCGUUAGACCUCAUUUCUUUCAUUUGGCAAUUAUCCCUCCAAUCGAUAUUUAUUACCUCUGCUGCUGCUGCUAAGUCGCUUCAGUCGUGUCCGACUCUGUGCAACCCCAUAGACGGCAGCCCACCAGGAUCCUCCGUCCCUGGGAUUCUCCAGGCAAGAACACGGAGUGGGUUGCCAUUUCCUUCUCCCUUAUUACCUCUAACCGCAGCUAAACAUCCUUGAAAAAGUAUUCCUUAUUUAUUCAGUGUUGCCCUAUUUUACAUAUUUAAAAUAUCCAUAUUCCAUACACGGUAUGGAGUUAUGCAAAACUUUCUCUGUACAGACAACCAAACAAACACCUCAAGGCACACAAGCCACAAAAUGGAAGUCUGCAAUGUAUAGAGGAUGAAAUGGACUUCAGGGGAGCAACUGUUUUUUAGCAAUGGUGCUAAUAGCUCAAAAGCGAUCAUGUUGGAGAUAUUAAAAAAGUAAAACACUGCCAGAGGCUGUGGACAAUGUGGAUUAAGACACACAUAGGAAAUCUCAAUACCGUGCUAGAGAUGAGAACGUGACAGCUAGGUUACCAUGGAGACAGAGCAAAGACACCAGCUACUAAUCUGAAUACCAAUUAACAGCUAGCACUUCUUUAUGUUACUAAAAUUCGUUGUCAGGGCAACACACAGGAUUGGCUCACAUUAUCAAAUGAAUAACAAACUGAAUCCAAAAAGUCAGAUUCUUUAAGAUCCAUAAAAUUCUAAAGAAACUAUUUAUAGAGAUUCAUGCAGCUUUCAGGAUAGUA
rnacentral:lncRNA from 1 species